GGGUUAGGCCGCUCUUUAAGUGCCAGAUUGGGAACUCUACAUCCGCCCACGGCCACUGCCAAGAUGCAGAGAUGUAAUACAUCACACACUGAGUUGCUGAGGUGGUAGCCAAUGACGGGUAAGAUCCCCGGGACAGCCCUUAACAGCUGGAGUAGUGGUCAAUGACGGGUAAGAUCCCCAGGUCAGCCCUUAACAGCUGGAGUGGUAGUCAAAGGCGGGUAAGAUCCCCAGAGGGGGACAACCUAAGACAUGCUCCCUAAAGCACUGAUCCCAGUCAGAGGGGACAGCCUAAGACAGGCACACUCUCUGCUCAGUUCCUCUUUUUCU